rnacentral:lncRNA from 1 species
CUUAAGGGCCUGGCGCACAUAAGGUGUGACCUUUUCAUUCCCGUUGUUAUGGAGGUUGCAAAUUCGUGAAGAAUCAGCAUCAUGUUUGGCAGCUGAGUAUUGGAGCCAGGAGCCUGCCAUGAGGUUUUGAGAACAGAGUGCUGUUUUAGAGCUGGCAGCAGCAUCUCAGCCCAAGAGAAGGUUAUAUUCCCAGAGGAUGUCAGUCCCAAGGACCAGUAGCUGCCAUCAGUUUGGAUUCUGAAAACUAACUGGCAUCAACACUGGGUGUAGAAACAUGCUUGCCUUAUGUAUCAGAGGACAUGCUCAGCAGAUCCAAGAGAUAUAUUUGGCAACUUUUUCUAGAAAAGGCACAUUGGGUAUCAUUCAUUACAUUCUUGAGUUUUUUUGGGUUUUUUUUUUUUUUUUUGAGACAGUCUUGCUGUAUUGCCCAGGCUGGAGUGUGGUGGCACAAUCACAGCUCAUUGCAUCCUCAAUCACCCAGGCCUAAGCAAUCCUCCCACCUUGUAGCUGGGACUACAGCUCACAGCACACCUGGCUAAAAUUUUUUUUUUGUUGAGACGGAUUCUCUAUGUUGCCCAGGCUGGUCUCAGGCUCCUGGGCUCAGAUGGUCCUCCUGCCUCAGCUUCCAAAGGCACAGGCCAAGUUGUAGCUUUGUCCCUUGCCAUCAUGCCCAACAAGAGGUUCUAUACCUUUUAAUGAAUUGACUUUCAUAAAUUGGUUAUGUUGGUGGGCAAAGUUCUUUAAGCUGGAAAUUGUAAAUUCCUCCUGAAAUGUUUUUUCAUGCAGUUACCAUGAACUAAUACUACAAUAAAGGAUGGUCUUGGGUGUCAA